rnacentral:rRNA from 1 species
CCUUAGAUGUUCUGGGCCGCACGCGCGCUACACUGACAGAGCCAACGAGUAUAAACCUUAACCGAGAGGUUUGGGUAAUCUUGUUAAACUCUGUCGUGCUGGGGAUAGAGCAUUGCAAUUAUUGCUCUUCAACGAGGAAUAUCUAGUAAGCGCAAGUCAUCAGCUUGCGUUGAUUACGUCCCUGCCCUUUGUACACACCGCCCGUCGCUACUACCGAUUGAAUGGCUCAGUGAGGCCUUCGGACUGGCUCUAGGAUAUCGGCAACGACUUCUCUGAGCCGGAAAGUUGGUCAAACUUGGUCAUUUAGAGGAAGUAAAAGUCGUAACAAGGUUUGGAAUAAGAAUCCUUCCAAGACACUUAUGAGAAGCCUUUGUGACCCAGCAAUGGGUAUUUGCCACGACUAUAAAAAAAGAAUGCAGGUAUUAAAUCGCAAGUCUGCUUAAGAGCAGGCAACACUUUCGAAUUGCGGGGAUCCCCUAAAGCCAUUCUCUACCAACCAAGCAGGAAACUGUUAUGGGGCUCAUGUUAACAGCAUGAGGUACGGUAAUAACGAGAAUUGGAUAAUGCUAAACCGUCGGGUUUGCAACAUGGGCAAUCCGCAGCCAAGUCCCUAAGGCAAUUUGCUACGGGAAAGGUUCACAGACUAAGUGGAAGUGGGCUAUUAUUAUAGCUUAAGAUAUAGUCGGGUUCCAUAAGAAACUAUGGAAGAUGUCUCUACCCGUUCCGUAGGUGAACCUGCGGAAGGAUCAUUACCAAAAUUUAGCUGCUCCGGUUUAGGCUGGUUGCACGCUUCAACCCUUUGUGAACCAAAAACCUUUACGCUUCGGCAGCUGGUUUCAGCUGUAAGCCUGCCGAUGGCACCCAUUUAAACUUGUAUUUAAAUAUCUGUCUGAACUAAACAUUUUCGAAUGAAAAUUAAAACUUUCAACAACGGAUCUCUUGGUUCUCGCAUCGAUGAAGAACGCAGCGAAACGCGAUAGUUAAUGUGAAUUGCAGAAUUCAGUGAAUCAUCGAGUCUUUGAACGCACAUUGCGCCCAUCGGUAUUCCUUUGGGCAUGUCUGUUUGAGCGUCAUUACAACACCUCAGCACCAGCUGGUUUUGAGCCGCGAGAGUUUUCAAUAACUCUCCCGCUUUAAAGUUGUAAGCUCUGCUGGCUUCCAGCUUGACCGAAAACAUAGUAAAUUUCUUGCUUGUUAAUGGAAAAGUUGUGUAGUUCGGCCUGAACAACACCUUCAAUUUCUAAGGUUUGACCUCAGAUCAGACAAGGAUACCCGCUGAACUUAAGCAUAUCAAUAAGCGGAGGAAAAGAAACCAACAGGGAUUGCCUCAGUAACGGCGAGUGAAGCGGCAAUAGCUCAAAUUUGAAAUCUGGAGCCUUCGGCUUCCGAGUUGUAAUUUGAAGAGGAUGUUUCGGUUGCGAUCUGGGCCUAAGUUCCUUGGAACAGGACGUCAUGGAGGGUGAGAAUCCCGUACAUGGCUGCAGGUUUGCUUCUAUGUGAAACUCCUUCGAAGAGUCGAGUUGUUUGGGAAUGCAGCUCAAAAUGGGUGGUAAAUUUCAUCUAAAGCUAAAUAUUGGCGAGAGACCGAUAGCGCACAAGUAGAGUGAUCGAAAGAUGAAAAGCACUUUGAAAAGAGAGUUAAACAGUACGUGAAAUUGUUGAAAGGGAAGCGCUUGCAAUCAGACUCACUUGCGGUUGAUCAACGUUCCUUUUGGUUCGUGCACUCUGCCGUUUGUGGGCCAGCAUCAGUUAGUGCGGUGGGACAAAGGUAGCAGGAAUGUGGCUCCCUCGGGAGUGUUAUAGCCUGUUGCGUAAUGCCACCAGUGCUGAUUGAGGUCCGCGAUUCGUCUAGGAUGCUGGCUUAAUGGUUGUAAGCGGC